ensembl:lncRNA
CCCUCCCCUCUUACUCUUUCAACAAUUUCAGUAAUACAAUUUUUUUUUUCCGGAGGACAUUUCCAAAGCAGAAGCUCUCAGUUAUUCCGUGACGUGACAACAAUGCUGGUAUUGUUCAGGAAUCAGGAAUUCAGGUAUUGUUGUGACCUUGUGGCCUCACCUGCUCCUGGAAACAACCACAGCAGCAGCCGCCACCAAGGACCUUUCCAGGAGUUUAUACUGUGCAAGAUGCAGUCAGGAAACUUUCCAGGUGUUUAGUUGUGAUCGAAAUGAAGGCCGGGUGGGGUCAGAGCAAAGGGCGUCAGACGUAGGGGGGGGGGGGGUCUUUUUCCUCUUUCUAUCUCCUUAAAAUCCAUCCUUUCCCUCACUCCUCUUCAUCUGCAGAAGCAAAAUAGAUGUUGCAUCUCAACCAAGUACAGGAACUCAGCGGGAGGACCCCCCCCCAAGACCCUCCUACCAUUUGAAGUGUGUCUCCACCAAUCACCCACAGGGGGCGCUAUGGAUCCAGGUUUGAGCACUGGUGGCCCUAUUAUUACAAUUUAAUGGUUUAUGUGAGUGAAGAGGCAAUGUUCUCUCUCUCUCUCUCCGGGCUGCUCUUAUCUGGUCAGACCUGCUGCAGGAGCCAACCUGCAGUGCAUUAAACAAGCCGCCACCGCUGACGCACACACAUACAUAUAUUUACAUAUAUAUAUUUAUAAAAGGAGGCAAACGCACACAGAAGCCCGUGCGUGCGUAAUGCACGGGGGUAAUGAGAGAGAAGGAGAGUUCCUCCGUGGGAUUGAUUGGGCAGCCGAUCGUAGUGUGUAUUUGUGAAUAAUUCAUCUGAGCGAGUACACACUCACAACAACACGAACGUGUAACGUUGGACUGUAGGUCCACGUGCAGGAAAGUGACCCGCAGACGAGAAUUGUAAAACUGUUUGUAUUAAAACAUGGGUCGAGGGUUAGAUCCCCUAAUUAGACAGAUCUGCCUAAUUAAAUCUGGGAUGCACGCGUGUUACUUUGUGAGCAGUGAACAAAUAACGGUGGUGGCUGUGCACGAAACCUGUCAACAUCUGAGUCAUUGUGUGUGUGUGUGUGUGUGUGUGUGUGUGUGUGUGUGUGUGUGUGUGUGUGUGUGUCAAAAUAUAUGGGCUUCUGUAUCAGAUCUGCUUUGCACGGUGAAAAGUUUGGUGAGUUGUUUUUUAUUGGGGGGGUUGGGGGGCUUUUUGUGCUUCACACAGGCUCAGAGAGAGAAAGCGAUGGGGAGGGACACAUCCACCAUAGCGGAUCUGGAUGGAGCACUUAUAACUUUUCACCACAUCUGCCACAAACCUGCGCUGCGCCUAAAACAAUGAGUCGAAUCUUAAAAAAAAAAAAAAAAACUCGUCAAAUCAAAAUUCCGAGCUCACUUUUUAUUUUUUCUCCUCUCCGUCCUCCUUGUUUCUGUCUCCAGCCGCGCACGUACACACGGGGAGAGACAGACAUGUACAUACAGCGCGGAUGCUAUCCGGACUAUUAAACUCCAAGCCGCCCGACACGCCACUCUCUCCAAACUAGGCGCGCGGGCACGAGCGGCCGGUUUCAAGCUGCCCUCUCCGUGAAUUGAUUCUACUAUGGGCCCACACGAAGGCGCGCUCUCACGAGGCGGGGGCGGGCGAGGCCAAGCGGCGCGUCCGGCGCGGCUCCAAACCUCACCGAAUGUCACGCGAGUGGAAUUAGGUAGCCAGAAACAACAUCCGCCAGCGUGUUUAUUUCGCCGCGGGUGAAAAACGGCUCGCUUUGAGGCUGCUCCGUGGUACCUCCCGGGCCCCGUCACCCCCGCGCCGCCAAAUGGAACAUUCCACAAUUUAUUCCAGGGAAAGACUGACAGUUUUUUGGGUCAUGAAGCAGCUGUUCGAGUCAGCGGCCUGUCCCCCCUCCGCUGGAAUAAGAAAUUAGUCCAUUUUAAAGUAAAUAACUAAAGCCUCUGGCCGAUAAGAAGGAAUUAUAGAAUAGUGUGCAGGCUCAUUUUGACAGGGAGAGAAACCCCAAAACAGUUAAAGACACUAAAUAUGAUCCCUCCACCACCGCCACCUCUUCCUCCAUCAAAUUAUUUAACACAUUGGAGUUAGGCCUAGUUGUUACCAACACAACAGAAUAUUGGAGGCGGUAUACCAUUUCUAUAUAUAUAUUUAUAUAUAUGCAUUUAUAUAUAUAUUGUAAUUACACCCAUUGUACAAAAAUUACAUUUGCAAGACUCCGAUGUGGUGCCAGACAGCCUGCCGAUACACACAUAAUAACGCGGAAUACAUUUUGGUGCUUGAGGGACAUUUCAAGCCUCUUGAAGGUCACGCAGAACAUCAUCUGUGUGAGGUUUGAUUUCUAAUAGUUUAAAUUGAUUGCUGGUGUUCCUGCUGCUGUUGAACAUAUUCCAGAUUUUAACGGGCGACGCUAGUUAAGUAGGCUGUUAGUUAAGUAACAAUCAGGUAUUGUGCCAACAUAUAAUUAGGUUUCAGGAAGCAUAAUGCUGUAGUAGAUAAACAAAUUGUCCUGAGCGGGUUAUUUUCAUUUCCUGUCUGUAUGUAAUAUUGUGUAAUACAUCCUCCUUACCUUCAGUGCAGUGGAACUAAUGCUGAAAGUGGUUCAUAAAGUUGCCUGAGACAUGUGAUAUCAUUAAGUAUAACUUAAUCUAUGACAUACACCAGAUAAAAUUGAUAGAAUUAUAAAAUGUGAAGUCUGUAUACAGACUUACUGUGUGCUUCUUAAGGAACUGUGUGGCGGGAUAUUGAUAAUGAAAAGAUGGCUUAUUCUUAAUCUCUUGACUGAAAACACAAAUUUAUUCUCAUUAAGCUAAAAUGCAAUAAACGCUAUGCUUACAUCUUAACAUUCACGGGCUGAAUUACUUUGACAAAUAGGGAACAAAUGAAAUAAGUUGAAGUAGAGUGAUACUGUAUAUGCCUAAACUCUAUAAAGACACACCGAGGCAAUUAAUAGAGAUGAAAUGUCAGAGAUGAACAGGAAUAAAGUGUUCAAGUGGGAAAACUUGUAAUCUGAAUAUUGAAAGCAAAAUAAAUGUUUCUUUUGUAUGAUGUCAAAGCAAACCAUGUGUCUGCGAUGAGAGACAAACUGUUUGACUUGCGCCUACAAUUUAAAAAGUUUAUUCUGUAAGUCGAGAAAGCCGCGUUUUGACGGAAAUCUGCUGAGAAAAACGUGUUACAAUCGUCACUAAUGCAACUUUAAUGCCACGCAACAACGCUGACGCAAACACCGGUCUCCCGAUUGAAAGUCCCCUCCCAUCGCAUGUGAGCGCUCUCUCAGCCUUAAUAGACAGCACAUGUACUGAGUGGAGCAUAUUCACACGUGUGUGUUUCCACCGCACUCAAUACAGACUACAUGGUGUAAACUGAUGUGCGAAAAAGCAAGAUUGUCGUUGUUACGAAACGCUAAAUCACUUACAACCGGGCAACGGAGAACAUGUCAGAUAAGGUCACGUUUGUGAGUUGAACAAAGUUAGCUGGCGAGUCUUGAUGAUGACGCCCUAAAUGUUGGUCAUAUUAUUUCCAAGAUCUGAUCCCAUUAAGGACUCCGUAAGCGGGGGGGGGGGGGGGGGGACGCCUCUCUACGUGGCAAAGUGAUAAGGAUUUGACCCCCUAUAGGCUAGGAUAACCCUAACCCUAACCCCUAUAGGCAAGGAUAAACUUAACCCUAACCCCUAUAGGCUAGGAUAAACUUAACCAUAACCCCUAGAGGAUAGGAUAAACUUAACCCUAACCCCUAUAGGCUGGGAUAACCCUAACCCCUAUAGGUUAAGAUAAACUUAACCCAAACCCCUAUAGGCUAGGAUAACCCCAACCCCUAUAGGCUAGGAUAACCCUAACCCCUUUAGGCUAGGAUAACCCUAACCCCUAUAGGCUAGGAUAAACUUAACCCCUAUAGGCUAGGAUAACCCUAAACCCCUAUAGGUUAGGAUAAACUUAACCCCUAUAGGCUAGGAUAAACCUAACCCCUAUAGGUUAGGAUAAACUUAACCCCUAUAGGCUAGGAUAACCCUAACCCUUGAAUUCAUUCCCGCGUUUACCACAAAACCUAAUCCAGCUGGAUUGAAUUUACACCAAACCCCAUUCAGCUUUCUCACUUAUUCCCUCACAUCCGUCUGGUUUUAAUUCAAUAAGUUUCUUCUCGUCAACCUGAUCCAUUUGUCUCUCACGUAUUUCUCCCUCCCUCUACGCCACUUUCCAUCUGUUGGCCACACCUUCCGUCUCCUCCUCCUCCUCCUCCUCCCCCUCCCCUGCCCAGAGUUACCAGUCAUCUGCCAGCAUGCGUUCCUCCUCUGGUCUUAAUGGAGAUCAUAUGUUGAAGCCAGCUCUGAAACCCGACCCGGGACGUCCACAUCAAAUAAAACCUGCUGUCAGCAGCGGGGCCCUGGCUCUGCCAAGGGGAGUGAAACCGUAUCCGAGUCGGCCCCACCAACACGAAUAGAAGCCCAAAAAGACCAACAGACAAACGGACGGACAGACCACACCUCUCUGGGAGACAUUCCAUUAUCCUUUUUUGCAAAACUACAGUUUUUGUUUGGUGGAGGUGUGCUGAAACCUCCCGAGGGUGAAAUCUCCAGCCCUUUUCCUGCAAAGACUUGCAGCUGCCAAUCAUUCAGAAAAAGAAUGUCUGACUGACAAGCAAUUUGCGGAACGGCAUGAAGAUUCAGCCGCGUGUCGUCUGGUAAAAUCUCAACACUGUCCCUCGCAGCUCAUCACAGUGGCACGCUCACGACGUCAUCGGAUACCCUGGUUCAUGCCCUCGCCUCGCCUUAACCUACAGAUGAUCGGUUGCCUGCACGGAGGUGAUCUCCAGUUUGGUGCCAAACGUGGAUGCGGCAAACUCAAAGCUAAAACUGCCUCGCAUUGUGUAAAGAACGUGAAUGCAGAGGCUGAUUUAUACCUUUUGAUUUGCCCAUCUUGUUACGUUUUCAACAUACCUACGGCGACCGAGUGCUUCGCCUCCCGACCGAGCCUCAGGCCUGUCGGAAUGCUUUACAAAAGAUUUUUAAUGUGAUACCUGGAAAAACGAACACUUAAAACCCGGUAACAAGCAGCAGCUCAAAUACAGGCCAGGUGCAGCCCGUUGCCAUAUUUGGGACGGCUCCGACAAAAAAUACAUUGUUUGGGAACAGGCAGCCUGUUGAAAUAACUACAUGAAUACCUUUCAGAUGAGACCAGAGUCCAAAGGGUUCAACAACAGAGACCGUCUGUUUGCUGCUUGUUCCCCAAAAAGGGGGCGCUUUUGUUGCACCGGCGAACGUCGGAUCCCCCCCGUGAAUCUAAACCAGUGUACAUUUAUGUGAUUGUUAUCUGCGCCGGUGGCUUCCUGUGUGGCGUUGCACGCGUGCAGCCCCCGUGGGCAGCAUCGCCAUUUCUCAGCAGAUACGACUGAGAUUGAAUUGCCCUUCCAGUCCCCACGUCCGAGCGGUGAAGAUAGAGAUCCAGAGUAGGAGCUGGAAGAUGGAUGGGGCAUCGGUGGUGAUGGUACUGCUGCCGGGGUCGGGGGGUGGGGGAGCAGUGGGUGGGGGGGGGUGUCCUGUUGUUCGUCAAGUAGCUGAGAGAUCAGAUGCUAUCGGGCCGGAGGUGUCUGCUCGGCUCGGCUCCGCAGCGCACAGCAGUUAGUUUACGUAAAGGAUAAACAGUGACCCGCGGGUCGUAAUCCACUGGCGGACGGAGCAGGAGCUGUGUGGAUUAGCGGGGGCUAACUGUAGCUUCUCCACUUGUUUAACACCUCAAGAGGAUCCUAAUUGAGCUAAAUCUCAUUAUUUAUGGCUGGCCAUGGAGACGGUAAUCAGAGUGGUCGGUGUGUCUUUAAACAGAUCAGUCAGGAGCUGGGCCUGCUAAUGUGCGCACACACACACACACACACACACACACAGGUUCAGUUUCCAGGUUUCUCUCAUGAGAAGACUUAGAGGAGGGAGGGGAAAUAUUCUGUGGUCAUUAGAGGCUCCAGCACACUCAUCAUCGCUGUGCUGCACAUGUGAGACUCUGUGUUUGUGUAGAAUUUAGAUGAAGGCUUUGUUUUUGUCGCUGCUGUAGACAAAACAUACCAGGAGAAAUGAACUCAGCUGUCACGUGCAAAUGGCUAAUUUAAUAUUUCCAUGAAACAAUAGUUAACGAGAUAUUUCCCCCCUUCUUUUUAUUUCUCCAGAUUUAAUGAAUUCAGCUAAUGUAGAUCCAGAAUCUUUGUCGCAAGCAGCUACGUAGACCAGCAAUUUCCCGCGUUAUUAAAAGGCGGGCGAUCAUCGAUGGGAAGAUAGGAAGUUUCAUUGCCGGCUUAUUUGAGAAGUCUGAAUGGCAACAGGGGGGCAAGAGCGCUGACCCUGUGUGGAGCCACGGCGCUGCCGGGGUCUGCAGCCUCACUGAGGCAACGGGGAAGAGCAACUCCAAGAGCGGUUCACAUGAAUGUCACGCUUUCUAGACCGCUAAUAAAGAAAAGAGAGGACAAGGCUUACAAUGAAAGCUGCGACGGUGGAGGAAAAGAAAGAGAAAUUAAGAGAGGGCGAAAGCUGAGGAGGAGCGUGUUAAUAUGAUUCAGACAAAAGGAGAGAAAAUGAUAUCAGACAAAAUGGCGGAGGAGAGAUUUUGCAAAGAUUUUGAGAGGGUUGGGAUGAGGUGUUGUGGAGCCGAGUGAGCGAGAGAGAGAGAGGAAAGAAAAGGGGAGACGAGAGAUCGUGGUUUGGGAGUUUAGAAACCUCUCAACCAUAUGCGUUUCUAUGUCUGCAAUAUACAUGCAAAUAGCUGCAUGCAUGAGCGAUGGGCGAAGCGAGGAGCAGAGAACUUUCUUUUUUUCCUGCUUUUCUUCACAGCCACAUUACUCCACCUCCCCACCCAUCAACACAAAACACACAGAGCCGCAGACGACACCGGACAUUUAACUCUUUAUUUUAGCAUUUCAACCCCACGUUGUAGGCGAAGUCUUAUCUCGUGUUCAAAGAGUCAUACUCAAAAGUCGGUUAGAAAUACGUGAACAGGGUGAGAACAUCGAAAUAAAAGAUGAUUUAGAGGCAGAGAGUAAAACACUGAGACAAAAAGACAUAUCAAUAGUGUCUGCAGGAAGGGGGACCUGGCUUUGAUUUUGGUAAACGGCUCUGACGCAGACGUGCAGAACCUGGGGAGACGUUAAGCUGCAAAAGAAGGAGCUCUGUUUCCAGGAGAGGAUCGCUGGAUGAAGGGCGACCCUGUCUGGAGCAGAUGUUUUACUGCGGACACACGAAUGCCCGAGACGACAUUUUAAUGUCCUUUUUAGAUCAAAGAAGCUGGCGGGCAACAAGACAAAAUAGAAUGUGCAUAUGUGUGUGUGUAAUCUUGUAUUUAAAUCUCUAUGGGGACCGAUUUGAAUUUCAGACUGUUGCGAGUGAGGACAUGUUUGUGAAGAGAAGCAUUUUGGCCGCUCUACACUUUUUUAAACGGCUUUUUGCAGGUUGAGGCCUUGUUUUAGGAUGAAGACGUUACGGUUGGUGUUAGGGUUGUGGCUAGUGUGUGUGUGUGUGUGUAUGUGUGUGUGUGUUUCUGUGUUCUUGAGCACCUGUUGUUUUGUCAGUGCAGUGGACAGAAACCAUUCGGUGCUCACUGAGCCAACGUUUUGAUGCAACUUGAUAUGAAAAGCAUCAAUCUUCACACACAGAGUACUACAUGUGGGUCUAAAGUACCCGUGAUGUUUAGCUACAGUUAGCGGCAUGUCUCCGCUACGGCAACGUCACAUCACAUCGGAAAUACUCAAACGCCUAUUGAAUGGACAGCCAUUACAUUUUGAAUUCUUCAUUUUCUCUACACAGCAGGUUGGUAUUUCUUUGUCGGACUUAUAUAAUAUAUCCUCACCGUUUGUCAUAUAUUUUGCCACACUGUCCUCGAAGCUUUCGUCCAUCGUUAAUGAAAAAUGGUUUUAUUCUCAUUAUAUUUGUUUAACUACUCAAAGCCACCAUGAACGUCAUCGUCCAAAAUGAAUCUAAUUAACAAAUUCACUGAUCAGUGGAAUCCCAGUACAAAGCAUUUUUACAGAGAUUUAGAGAUGGGUUUUGGUGGCUGAUGACACAGCAGCUUUUUUAUUUGGAUACAUAUUAGACAAAAAUGAUAGCUUCAUUCUAAUGUGAUUCAUUUUCCCUGUUUGUGCGGAACGAUUUUUAUCGGCUGACUUACAAAAUCUGGAUUUGAUGUUUAAAGGCUUGUUACUCUGCAUCUGCAGAGUUUGAAAGACAAUCAGAGAAUUUGAACGUUCCAAAACAAUCGAAAUGUACAUUGUGACUGAGUUGCUUUAGGUGAGAUGUGAUCGGAUGUCCUUCACUAUCUCAGUUUGUUACAUAUGUUAUUAGUCCGUUCCAUUUAGAAACAUGAGAGUACUGAACGUGAACAGAUUUUUGUUGCCCCCGUUAGAAAAAUAUCUCAAACACAACGCGAUAACCUUUUGUUAUGUCCAUUUUACGUCUCACACAGACACACACACAUGCGCAAAGAAAUGUAGAUUGUGGAAAAGCAGCAUUUGUUGGCAUGGCAACAUGUGAGGGUGCACACUGUGGCGUGUGCGACAGAGCUCGUACAGCAUGUGGAAGGUCCGUGUGUCGCACACAGGCGCGUGUCAGUGCGGCGAACACGGCGCCGUCAGAUCGGAAGCUUCAGAGGGGGGAGAGGUGUCGAUGAACGGGACCCACUGUACACUGUACACUGUCCGAGAGUGGGGGCUGUAAAAGGGUAACUGUUUCUCGCACUGUGGGUUUUAAUGCCGAAACAUGCACAUACGUGUAUGUGUGUGUGUGUGAGAUCAUGAAAGAGUGUUCUACUGAUUGUAUACCUGAUUUCUGUAUGUGUGGUAAUGGGCACAUACUGUUGUCUGCACACAGUACUGCUGCAGCCAGCAGAGAGAUGCAUUGUUUCUCUUUGUGUUUCUCUUUGUGUCUGUACGUGUGUGUGUGUGUGUGUGUGUGUGUGUGUGUGUGUGUGUGUGCGUGCAGGACAUUGUGAGAGAAGCGGCAGCCUUCUCUCUCCACUUCUUUCCUGCAGUAAUCAGUAAGAGUGGAGGCCUGGCCUUCUCUACCUCUCCCCGCCUGUGGUUUGUUCACAUACCGUCCUAGCCGAGCGGGUAGGAAUGUGUGUGUGUGCGUGUGUGUGAGUGUGUGUGAGUGUGCGUGUAUGCGUGUGCACGAGCAGUUCUAUGUGUUCUCAUGUGUCAUAACGAUUGUGUGCACAGCAAUGCGUGCAUCUUUGUGUGCGAGCACAUCCGUCUGUGUGUGUGUGUGUGUGUGUGUGUGUGUGUGUGAGGGUGGGGGUUGAAGAGGCCCUGCGAGGGAGCAGACAGAAAACCUGAAGGUAGUUAGUGUUCCUUUUCCCUGCAGGAAACGGCACACGAGACACGUGAAUUCCAACCAGCCUGUUGUGAAGUGGACGCACGUCACAUGAAAAUGAUGAAGGCUUCAUCAAACUGGACCGACCGGUGGAACGUUAAUGUCAUAAUUGAGGACAUGAAAAAUGAAAUGAAAAUAAUCACAGAUCAUAAUUUCACAUCGGCGGGGGCGGGCUUCCCGUGGAAGUGUGUGCUGGUCUGUCGCGUUCGAAUAAAUAAUGCUGGAGUCGUGUGGUCCAUUUUGUCUUUGUCCAGUGGACCCAGAGGCCCGCGAGCAGAGACGCUCUGCAGUCCGACGCGGGCAGAUGGGGACAGAGGAACGCAUUGAAACACGGCUGUUUAUGCCCCCCCCCCCCCUCCC